UUUUAUUUAAGGAACGUAUCCUAAAAUAUAUUCUAGCUCUGAAAAAUAAUUCUUUUAUUUUCGAGCUACAAUUUACAAAAUUACUGAAAUCUAUAUGCUUCUGGACGUAAUUUGUGCGUACUGAUUUUUAGUACCAUCGACGUCGUCAAAUACUGCUUGCAAGGCUCUCAUAUGCUCCAUCAACAUGUGUAUCUGUUGGAUAGAACCAUCAAAUAUUGUGAUACCGUAACCAUCGUCUGACGGUCAUGCAGAUAUAAUCCAAAAGCUGGAUGCCAUUGAGACCCGUCUCACUGCAAUUUAAAAGUCCCUAACAAACAAAAUGCCAGAAAAGGCCGAGAUGCAGACGCAGAGUAAAUUAUUGCGCCCAUGCCGCGUCAUAGUGGCAAAGACGUACCUUUCAAUCAGCCGCAUCACCGGUGACUUGGAGGAUGAGCAUUGCGUGGAGCUCGCGUCGAAAUUGCCCAUGUCAUCGGAAGAGCACUUGUGCUUCGGGGAAGACAAACAUUCACAAAUGAAAAUGGAUAUUAGUUUUAAGUUGUACGUAUUAAUUUUAAG